rnacentral:lncRNA from 1 species
AUGGUAGGAAACUCCUUUUUAAGUAGAAACACUAGUCCAAAUGUUUUGUUUGUAACACAGCACUCGUUGUCUUGAAAGUGUUUUCUCUGUUAAAAGGAGCUUGUAAUAUGCAUCCACGCGUAACCAUCUGCAUCUUCACAACACAUCAAUUGCUUGUAUAUUCACAGGUGGUGAUUGACUGAUUCGUGCAUGUCCAUGCAAUUUGGCGCAUUCAGCUGCGUGCUUGCGGAUGUGGAUGUAUUUCACAGAAGCAGCAGCAGCCUGCCUUCCCUUCCCUGGAUUCCAUCUGCUGUGCGAAACAAGAUCUGCAGUCAUUCCCAGGUACGUGGGACUUCUCUAGGCUAGAAGGUCUGUACAGCACAGACCAAGGAACUUCCUUCCUAUGAGGUUUAGUUUAGAAUACAGGAGAGUCAACUCUUUCCCAUGUUGUGACGUUUACCAUGUGCAAUUUACUGUCGGACAAGUUAACCAGACCUGCAUAAAGAAUAUCCAAAAAAUCUGAUCAACAUAGUCAGCUAAUCUAUAGCACUCAGAUCCAUAGUUCUUCCAACCUGUAUAGCCAAAGACUGGAAAUUUUUAUCCCAUUUUGUUCUUUUUCUGAUUUUAUUGGAUAAUAAUAUUGAAUUCUAGGACUUGGGUCGCUUUCCUUGUUUUCUGGUUAAUUUUUUUUUACAAUUUUCUUUUUAUUAAUAUUAUCCAGAUAUGGAACUAUAUAUUGCAAACCUGUUUUGUGACUAGCCUGACCAUCUCUUUCUGUGUCGCACCAUUGAUUAGACCCACUUUUGAUGAUGGUAGACACAGCCACACAUGACUAUCAGCUCUGGUUAAUGUCCCUGGCUUAUUUCAGGAUCAUUGCCAUGACAGAAACAUGUCAGUAAUAGGUGGUUUCCACUGAACAAUGACUUGUAGACUGUGGCCAUGCAAGCAGAGCAAAGAGAAAAGAUCAGCAAUUAUCCAGUGGAUGUGAUCCAUGCUGACAGGCAAUCUGGAUAAUUCAAAUAGAAACAACUUCUUUUGCCUCACUGGCAGGUUUGGGGCUGAUUUAGUGAGAUCAUUGUUUAACUUUCUUUGCCUGUGGAAAUGUAGUACGUGUGUUUGCUGGUUAAGUGAGGGUUUGGGGGUUAUAACCACAGCAUCUGUUCAUUUGACAUUCAAGUUUCACUCUGGUUUGGAAGCCCUUGUGCCUACAAUUUAAAAGCAGCAAUACACACCUAACUCCCAGCUGUCUGGGAACUCAGACUGCAUAUGCUUCUUGGUUUUCUAAUCUGCCCAGAGAAAUAAAACCAUCACCUGAGCCAAAGAAUAGUUUGCCUAAUUGGAUUUAAAACAAAAAAAAAUGUAGAGACACACACAGUGUGUUCUAAUGUCGCAGUUGUCUGAGCGACAUUGCUAGCUGAGCCAGACCACUUACCUAGACUUGAAGAUUUACAUUUUGAUGAUGUUUUUCAAGUGCUAUUUUAUCCAGAGGAAGAAAAAGCAGUAAUUUAAGCAGCUGCAGAAUUCCUCACACAUCUGCAGGAAGUCCCUCCUUCUGCCUUGGGCAGCACAGCAUAAUGGAUAGACCACAAACUUUAGAGUCGAUUUGACCUGGUUCAAAUCCCAGCUCCAAAACUCAUUAGCAAUAUUAUCUUGAGCAAGAUACUUCAUCUUUUCCAGCAUCACUUGCCUUAUUUAUAAAAUGUGGAUGACAACCAUUUUGAUAACUUCAAGGCUGACUUGAGGAUUAAAGUUUAUGUAUUCAAUGCACAUCUGUUGAUUGCCUACCAUGGAUCAGGCACUGUUCUGGGCACUGGAGAAAUGGCAGUGAACCGAGCAGACAGAAACACUGCCUUUGGGGAGUUGAUAAUUUAUCAGGGGAGAUAAACAAAGACAAGAUUAUUAAGGAGAAUAAAUAGCAGGUGAGAUGGUGGUAAGAGCCAGAGAAGAAACAUAAAACGUGGGAAGGGGGCAGGGAAUGAUGGUGCAGAGAGAGAUGGAACUGUGAUGGGGAGUUAUAGAAGGCUUCACUGAGAAGUUGAUCAAUAAAGAGGUGAGAGAGUAGGCUGUGGGGAUAUUUGGGAGAAGAGUGACUUGGGUUGAACUGUGUCUCCUCAAAGAGAUAGAUGAAAGUUCCAAAGACCAGUAAUUCUGAGUGUAACCUUCUUGGGAAACAAGGUCUUUACAGAGGUCAUUGAGUUUAACAUGGUCAUUAGGGUGGGCCCUAAUGGAAUAUGCUGGUGACCUUAUAAAAAGUAGAAAUUUAGACACAGAAACAGGUACAGAGGGAAGAUGAUGUGAAGACACAAAGAAUGCCUGCAGUGUGCCUGGAGUGAUGUUACUACAAGCCAGGGAACACCAAGGAUUGCUGGCAAACACCAGGAGCCAGGAGAGGCGAGGAAGAAUCCUUGCCUAGAGCCUACAGAGGACGGAUGCCCCUGCUGAUGUCUUGACUUCAGACUUCUGGCCUCUAGAAUCAUG